rnacentral:tRNA from 1 species
GGGCCCGUAGCUCAGCUAGGUAGAGCGGCGGACUAUGAACCCGUAGGUCGGGGGUUCAAAUCCCCCCGGGCCCACCA